rnacentral:rRNA from 1 species
UACGGGGGGGGCAAGCGUUGUUCGGAAUUACUGGGCGUAAAGGGUUUGUAGGUGGCUUGCUAAGUCAGACGUGAAAUCCCUCAGCUUAACUGGGGAACUGCGUCUGAUACUGGUGAGCUUGAGUGCAGGAGAGGAACGCGGAAUUCCCGGUGUAGCGGUGGAAUGCGCAGAUAUCGGGAGGAACACCCGUGGCGAAGGCGGAUCUCUGGGCCUUACCUGACGCUCAGGUGCGAAAGCUAGGGGAGCGAACAGG